GAUGAACGCUGGCGGCGUGCCUAAUACAUGCAAGUCGAGCGAACAGAUAAGGAGCUUGCUCCUUUGACGUUAGCGGCGGACGGGUGAGUAACACGUGGGUAACCUACCUAUAAGACUGGGAUAACUUCGGGAAACCGGAGCUAAUACCGGAUAACAUUUGGAACCGCAUGGUUCUAAAGUGAAAGAUGGUUUUGCUAUCACUUAUAGAUGGACCCGCGCCGUAUUAGCUAGUUGGUAAGGUAACGGCUUACCAAGGCGACGAUACGUAGCCGACCUGAGAGGGUGAUCGGCCACACUGGAACUGAGACACGGUCCAGACUCCUACGGGAGGCAGCAGUAGGGAAUCUUCCGCAAUGGGCGAAAGCCUGACGGAGCAACGCCGCGUGAGUGAUGAAGGGUUUCGGCUCGCAAAACUCUGUUAUUAGGGAAGAACAAAUGUGUAAGUAACUGUGCACGUCUUGACGGUACCUAAUCAGAAAGCCACGGCUAACUACGUG
rnacentral:rRNA from 1 species